rnacentral:rRNA from 1 species
AUUGAACGCUGGCGGCAUGCCUUACACAUGCAAGUCGAACGGCAGCACGGGAGCAAUCCUGGUGGCGAGUGGCGAACGGGUGAGUAAUACAUCGGAACGUGCCCAGUAGUGGGGGAUAACCCGGCGAAAGCCGGACUAAUACCGCAUACGACCUACGGGUGAAAGCGAGGGGAUCGCAAGACCUUGCGCUAUCGGAGCGGCCGAUGUCAGAUUAGCUUGGUUGGCGGGGAAAAGCCCACCAAGGCGACGAUCUGUAGCUGGUCUGAGAGGACGACCAGCCACACUGGGACUGAGACACGGCCAGACUCCUACGGGAGCAGCAGUGGGAAUUUGACAUGGCGCAAGCUGAUCCAGCCAUGCCGCGUGCGGGAAGAAGGCCUGGUGUAACG